rnacentral:rRNA from 1 species
UUACCUUAAUACCUUAAUAAUUAACCUAUAUAAACUAAACAUCUAAAUAUUUUAGGUGCGCCCUACAAUCUUUAACCCUAAAACCUUAAAGGAAAUACACAUUAUUUUUAAAGUCAUUAUUCAAAUUUGUACCUUUUGCAUCAUGGUUUAACAAGUUAAAAAGAAACAACUUCUAUCUCGAAACCAUAACGAGCUAUUUUUUUUCUGCUUUGAGCCCAUAGCCCUAUGUUGCACAAUAGCCUAAAGAAAGAACAAUAGAGGCUACAUACCCCCGCGCAUGGUGAUAGCUAGUUCUCACCUUCACUUAUCUAAGUAAAAAAGCUUUAAAUUUACCAUAACCUAAAAUAAACCUUUUCAAUUUACUGGGGACAAGCCCAUUAAAUAUCAUUUAUAAAUUAAAAAAGUCAAACCCUUAAAUAUAGUCUUAAAAUCCGUUAUUAUUAAUUAAAACGUUACAGUUACUACCACCUCGCCACUUAAAUUCAUACUAUUUAUAUCUUAUACAGGUGAGGAGGAUAACCAACUACUUUUAUUCAUCAUAAUGUUAAAAUAAGUAUUUAUUAACAACUUUAACCCUACAAUAAUUAUAAUAAAUAUAACAAAGGAACUCGGCAAAAAAUAAUUCGACUGUUUAACAAAAACAUUGCCUUUAGAAACAAAAUUAAAGGUACAUCCUGCCCAGUGACUUGUUCAACGGCCGCGGUAUCCUGACCGUGCAAAGGUAGCAUAAUCAUUUGCCUUUUAAUUGGAGGCUGGAAUGAACGGACAAACGAAAUUAUUGCUGUCUCUUUUAUACACAUAAAAAUUAGCCCCUAGGUGAAGAGACCUAGAUAAAAAUAAAAGACAAGAAGACCCUAUUGAGUUUUACUUUUUAUUUUUCAUUAAAAAUUAAAAGGUUUGGUUGGGGCGACCAAGGAAAACAUAAAUCUUCCUUUUUUACUAAGAUUAUAAAUCUCUCCAUUGACCCAUUACCAUGAGCAUAAAAAUAAACUACCAUAGGGAUAACAGGCUAAUCUUCCUAGAGAGCCCAUAUUGACAGGAAGGAUUGGCACCUCGAUGUUGGCUUAAGGAAACUCACUAACGCAGAAGUUAGUUUAAGUUAGUUUGUUCAACUAAUAACCCUUACAUGAGCUGAGUUCAGACCGGCGUAAGCCAGGUUAGUUUCUAUCUUUAUUUUUCUAUAAUAUUUCAUAUUAGUACGAAAGGACCUUAUGAUAUAAGAACUAUCUUCCAUAUAACAACCCAUCUACAAUAU